UGGGGAAUAUUGCACAAUGGGGGAAACCCUGAUGCAGCGACGCCGCGUGAGCGAUGAAGGCUUUCGAGUCGUAAAGCUCUGUCCUAUGGGAAGAUAAUGACGGUACCAUAGAAGAAAGCCCCGGCUAAUUACGUGCCAGCAGCCGCGGUAAUACGUAAGGUCCGAGCGUUGUCCGGAAUCAUUGGGCGUAAAGGGUACGUAGGCGGGUAAGCAAGUUAGAAGUGAAAUCCUGUAGCUCAACUACAGUAAGCUUUUAAAACUGCUCAUCUUGAGAUAUGGAAGGGAAAGUGGAAUUCCUAGUGUAGCGGUGAAAUGCGCAGAUAUUAGGAGGAAUACCGGUGGCGAAGGCGACUUUCUGGCCAUAAUCUGACGCUGAGGUACGAAAGCGUGGGUAGCAAACAGG
rnacentral:rRNA from 1 species